GCCUGGCUGGCUCAGUUGGUAGAGCAUGUGACUCUUGAUCUUGGGGUUGUGAGUUCAAGCCCCACACUAGGUG
rnacentral:tRNA from 1 species